GAACGCACAUUGCGCCCCUUGGUAUUCCAUGGGGCAUGCCUGUUCGAGCGUCAUUUGUACCCUUAAGCUCUGCUUAGUGUUGGGUGUUUGUCCCGCUUCGCGCGUGGACUCGCCUUAAAGCCAUUGGCAGCCGGCAUAUUGUCUCGGAGCGCAGCACAUUUUGCGCUUCUAGCAUGAAUGUUGGUAUCCAGUAAGCCUUUACAUUUGCUCUUGACCUCGGAUCAGGUAGGGAUACCCGCUGAACUUAAG
rnacentral:misc_RNA from 1 species